rnacentral:rRNA from 1 species
AUUGAACGCUGGCGGCAGGCCUAACACAUGCAAGUCGAACGAGUGGCGGACGGGUGAGUAAUGUCUGGGAAACUGCCUGAUGGAGGGGGAUAACUACUGGAAACGGUAGCUAAUACCGCAUACCAUCAGAUGUGCCCAGAUGGGAUUAGUUUGUGGGUGGGGUAACGGCUCACCAAGGCGACGAUCCCUAGCUGGUCUGAGAGGAUGACCGUCCACACUGGGACUGAGAACCGGUCCAGACUCCGACGGUAGGCAGCAGUGGGGAAUAUUGGACAAUGGGCGCAAGCCUGAUGCAGCCAUGCCGCGUGUAUGAAGAAGGCCUUCGGGUUGUAAAGUACUUUCAGCGGGGAGGCGUUACCCGAAGAAGAAGCACCGGCUAACUCCGUGCCAGCAGCCGCGGUAAUUC